CAAUAGCGUAUAUUAACGUUGUUGCAGUUAAAAAGCUCGUAGUUGGAUUUCUGGAGGGAGCGUCGGCCCGUAUUUACGAGUGCGUGACGUCUCUGUCCAUCCUUGCGGGAAGGCACGGCAUUGAUUUGUUGUGUCGGAUCGCAUCAUUUACUGUGAAAAAAUUAGAGUGUUCAAAGCAGGCUUUCGCUUGAAUACAUUAGCAUGGAAUAAUAAGAUAGGACUUUGGUACUAUUUUGUUGGUUGAGCCUAAAGUAAUGAUUAAUAGGGAUAGUUGGGGGCACCUGUAUUGCGUUGUCAGAGGUGAAAUUCUUGGAUUUACGCAAGACAAACAGCUGCGAAAGCGUCUGCCAAGGAUGUUUUCAUUA
rnacentral:rRNA from 1 species